rnacentral:rRNA from 1 species
GACGAACGCUGGCGGCGUGCUUAACACAUGCAAGUCGAACGGAAAGGCCCUGCUUUUGUGGGGUGCUCGAGUGGCGAACGGGUGAGUAACACGUGAGUAACCUGCCCUUGACUUUGGGAUAACUUCAGGAAACUGGGGCUAAUACCGGAUAGGCGCUCCUGCUGCAUGGUGGGGGUUGGAAAGUUUCGGCGGUUGGGGAUGGACUCGCGGCUUAUCAGCUUGUUGGUGGGGUAGUGGCUUACCAAGGCUUUGACGGGUAGCCGGCCUGAGAGGGUGACCGGCCAAAUUGGGACUGAGAUACGGCCCAGACUCCUACGGGAGGCAGCAGUGGGGAAUAUUGCACAAUGGGCGGAAGCCUGAUGCAGCAACGCCGCGUGCGGGAUGACGGCCUUCGGGUUGUAAACCGCUUUCGCCUGUGACGAAGCGUGAGUGACGGUAAUGGGUAAAGAAGCACCGGCUAACUACGUG